rnacentral:rRNA from 1 species
AUUGAACGCUGGCGGCAGGCCUAACACAUGCAAGUCGAGCGAGCGGCGGACGGGUGAGUAAUGUCUGGGAAACUGCUGGUGGGGGGGGAUUACCACUGGGAACGGUAGCUAAUUCCGCCUACCAUUCGAUUUUCCCCGAUGGGAUUAGCUAGUAGGUGGGGUAACGGCUCACCUAGGCGACGGUCCCUAGCUGGUCUGAGAGGAUGACCAGCCACACUGGAACUGAGACACGGUCCAGACUCCUACGGGAGGCAGCAGUGGGGAAUAUUGCACAAUGGGCGCAAGCCUGAUGCAGCCAUGCCGCGUGUGUGAAGAAGGCCUUCGGGUUGUAAAGCACUUUCAGCGGGGAGGCGUUACCCGCAGAAGAAGCACCGGCUAACUCCGUGCCAGCAGCCGCGGUAAUAC